CGCGGCCUAUCAGCUUGUUGGUGGGGUAAUGGCCUACCAAGGCGGCGACGGGUAGCCGGCCUGAGAGGGUGGACGGCCACAUUGGGACUGAGAUACGGCCCAGACUCCUACGGGAGGCAGCAGUGGGGAAUAUUGCACAAUGGGCGCAAGCCUGAUGCAGCGACGCCGCGUGGGGGAUGACGGCCUUCGGGUUGUAAACUCCUUUCGCUAGGGACGAAGCUUUUUGUGACGGUACCUAGAUAAGAAGCACCGGCUAGCUACGUGCCAGCAGCCGCGGCAAUACGUAGGGUGCGAGCGUUGUCCGGAAUUACUGGGCGUAAAGGGCUCGUAGGUGGUUUGUCGCGUCGUCUGUGAAAUUCCGGGGCUUAACUCCGGGCGUGCAGGCGAUACGGGCAUAACUUGAGUACUGUAGGGGUAACUGGAAUUCCUGGUGUAGCGGUGAAAUGCGCAGAUAUCAGGAGGAACACCGAUGGCGAAGGCAGGUUACUGGGCAGUUACUGACGCUGAGGAGCGAAAGCAUGGGUAGCGAACAGGAUUAGAUACCCUGGUAGUCCAUGCCGUAAACGGUGGGCGCUAGGUGUGAGGGUCUUUUCACGACUUUCGUGCCGUAGCUAACGCAUUAAGCGCCCCGCCUGGGGAGUACGG
rnacentral:rRNA from 1 species